CAGGGAUUGCCCUAGUAACGGCGAGUGAAGCGGCAACAGCUCAAAUUUGAAAUCUGGCCUCUAGGUCCGAGUUGUAAUUUGUAGAGGAUGCUUUUGGUGUAGCACUGCCCGAGUUCCCUGGAAUGGGACGCCAUAGAGGGUGAGAGCCCCGUCUGGUUAGCUGCGCAGCCUUUAUAAAGCUCCUUCAACGAGUCGAGUAGUUUGGGAAUGCUGCUCAAAGCGGGAGGUAUAUGUCUUCUAAAGCUAAAUACCGGCUAGAGACCGAUAGCGCACAAGUAGAGUGAUCGAAAGAUGAAAAGCACUUUGAAAAGAGGGUUAAACAGUACGUGAAAUUGCUAAAAGGGAAGCACUUACAACUAGACGUGGGCGUGUUUAAUCACCUAGUAUUCUUACUAGGGCACUUAGACGCUGCCUAGGCUAGCAUUGGUUUGCUGCAGGGGAUAAAAGCACUAGGAAUGUAGCCCCCCUCGGGGGGUGUUAUAGCCUGGUGCAAUGCCCUGUGGCAGACCAAGGUCCGCGCUUUGGCAAGGAUGCUGGCAUAAUAGUUGUUAGUGACCCGUCUUGAAACACGGACCAAGGAGUCGUCCUCGUAUGCGAGUGUUUGGGUGUUAAACCCGUACGCGGAAUAAAAGUGAACGCAGGUGAGAGCCCUUGGGCGCAUCACCGACCGAUCUUGAUGUUCUCGGAUGGAUUUGAGUAGGAGCAUACGGGGCCGGACCCGAAAGAAGGUGAACUAUGCCUGCGUAGGGUGAAGCCAGAGGAAACUCUGGUGGAGGCUCGCAGCGGUUCUGACGUGCAAAUCGAUCGUCAAACGUGGGCAUGGGGGCGAAAGACUA
rnacentral:rRNA from 1 species